rnacentral:rRNA from 1 species
CAAUAGCGUAUAUUAAAGUUGUUGCAGUUAAAAAGCUCGUAGUUGGAUUUCGGGGCAGCCUGGUUGGUCCGCCGCAAGGCGAGUACUGGUCAGCCGCCCUUCCUCUCGAAAGCCCCGACUGCUCUUCGUUGCAGUGGUCGGGUAGUUCGGGACGUUUACUUUGAAAAAAUUAGAGUGUUCAAGGCAGGCCUACGCCUGAAUACAUUAGCAUGGAAUAAUGGAAGAGGACCUCGGUCCUAUUUUGUUGGUUUCCAGGGCCGAAGUAAUGAUUAAGAGGGACAGUUGGGGGCAUUCGUAUUUAAUUGUCAGAGGUGAAAUUCUCAGAUUUAUGAAAGACGAACAACUGCGAAAGCAUUUGCCAAGGAUGUUUUCAUUAA